GAAGGGAGCGAUCUUCUCGACAACCUAUCUUCGAAGGAAAGGCAAAUUUUGUUACGGGCGGCGGAAUUUGGAAGCCUCGCCUUCGAAACGUCGCCGGCUCCGCGAGCUCAACGGGACGAACAUGUUGACGCGGCAGCGUGCGGGAGCAGCAGCCGCCUGAAUUCCACAGAUUGGUGCCGUUGUGGGUCAUGCGUCGCCAUGCCCACUGAAGAAGAGUGCCUCUGCUGUAAGGAGCUCCAGGGCACCGCUGAACCACUGAGCUUCUCGUGUAUCACGGAGCACGAAGAUUUCAAAUUGUUAUGCCUCAACCAAACCGUCCUUAAGGUGGCGUACUUUGAACUUCGGGGCCAGCGGGAACCGAUGAGCGCACAUAUUCACAAGAGAUACCGAUACACAGCAUACCGCCAGUUCGCGAGGUGGGUGUGGCACAAGCUUGGAAAAAACAAGCGCAUGGUGAUUCCAGCUUGUGCUGUGAACACCAUUCGCGAAGCCUUUCCAUCAGAGUCAAGGACAGGCUUCAGAUAUGCAAGGUACUAAGCAAGGUGUGUAUGUCGGUACAGUUUCUUGUCUAGCCAGUGUACCCUGCUGGGUACAGGGCAGUAAUAGCAGCUAUCAAAGGCAUUGUUGAUGUUUGUAACGUGUCGUACUGUAAAACCCUUAAAU